UACAGAGGUCCCAAGCGUUGUUCGGAUUCGCUGGGCGUAAAGGGUGCGUAGGUGGUGAGGUAAGUCGGAUGUGAAAGCUCCGAGCUCAACUCGGAAAUGGCAUUGGAAACUACCUUGCUCGAGGGUUUGAGGGGGGACUGGAAUACUUGGUGUAGCAGUGAAAUGCGUAGAUAUCAAGUAGAACACCAGUGGCGAAGGCGAGUCCCUGGAAAACUCCUGACACUGAGGCACGAAAGCUAGGGGAGCAAACAGG
rnacentral:rRNA from 1 species